CGAGAUUUUGGUAGCAGGCGCAAGAACAGUAAAGCUGAAGGAGUGCAAGCUGCACAAGUUUGUAUGAUUGCUUGUGGACUUUAUGAGCAGAUCAAAUUUUCAUCUUGAAUCUCAAAGACUCAUUACAGAGAAAAGGACUUUCAAGAGAUCUUUCUACUUACAUUAGUCCAUAGCAAGAAAAAGUAGCAAGGUAAGACAGACCUCCUCUUGUUCUUCAUAUUGCUUUUUUUUUGACAGAGUGAGGGAUCCAGCUUUCACCUUUAGGGAGAAAGAUAUUUUUAAGUUCCUACUUA